rnacentral:tRNA from 1 species
GGGAGGGUAGCCCAAUCGGCAGAGGCAACGUCCUGAGACGGCAUUCAGUACGGGUUCGAAGCCCGUCCCUCCCACCA